rnacentral:lncRNA from 1 species
CCUGGCCUGCUGUUAAAAAAAAUGAACAAUUUAUAAAGAAAGUAAUGUGUUCCUUUUAAUUCUCCCAGGACUUUAAACUAACUGCGGGGACUUUGCUCUUUGUACAGCGACCAAGCAUGAAACACUUCAGCUGCAAAGGUUCUUUCAAAUGUGGCUGUCAUGGUGUCAUCUUCAUCCCACCUCUUAAGUCCCUGCACCUGCUCAGAAGGCAGUUUCUGGAUCUGGGCAUAUCUGCUGAUUUGGGGGUGUUUCUCUCGGCCCAGCUCUGCUGGAGUACUGCCUUUAUGACGCUGUAUACGCUUUUUUGCCUUCUGAGGAAGAAAGUGUCUCCUCAUGGAAUAAUCUUCUGAGUUGCAAAUUAAGGUGGAUUGAGACAUAGACCCACAAGCGGAAAAAAGCUGUCACAGUUAAUGCUAAUGAUCUGUUACAUGCACAAGUUUAUCCAGACAUUCAUUGGAGUCUAAACUGAUUGUGUAUACACCACAAACAGAAUACUUCUUUGACACGUCCCUGGAAAUCAUUAUUACUUUUUUGCAUCUUAUUAUUUUAUUAUUGUGAUCCCAUACAUUUACCUAAUGUUUGCUAAU